rnacentral:rRNA from 1 species
UACAGAGGGGGCUAGCGUUAUUCGGAAUUAUUGGGCGUAAAGGGCGCGUAGGCGGCCACGCGUGUCUUUCGUGAAAUCCCUCGGCUUAACUGAGGACGUGCGGAAGAAACUGCGAGGCUUGAGUCCGGGGAGAGGGGGGGUGGAAUUCCCAGUGGUAGCGGUGAAAUGCGUAGAUAUUGGGAGGAACACCGGUGGCGAAGGCGGCCCCCUGGACCGGUACUGACGCUGAGGCGCGAAAGCGUGGGGAGCAAACAGG